GCCAUCAGCCCAACUUGGAAGCAAAGCUCUGCGGAGGGGGUGGGAUGCGGAUGGAGGCUGUCUCCCAACGGAGAGUGGCCGCCCGGCUGCCCAGCAGCUCCACUUCCCGCCCCAGCCCCUUCUUAAUGGGCACUGGUGUCCCCAGAGCUGAGAAACUGGGCCAAGGAAGUGCCCUGUAGCUGGAAGAUGAGCUGCCUGGGCUCCGAGGGAACAGGACCCGUUUCUGCUUCUCCAUCAGCUCCAUCGCAGGGCCAGGGCGAUGCCUGCCAGCACCUCGGAGGGAGGUUGCGUCUCCAGCCGGCACAGGUCUGGGAAAAAGGGGGACCCAGCUGGCCAACUGCCCACCCGGGAGCCUGGUCCUCCAGACUGGGCAGGAGGGGUGGGAUGGGAGGGCUGAGGGCUGCUUCAGAAUCCCCGGCUCGUGGGUGGGUGGCUUUCCUCUGAUUCUGCUUCUUCUGUGAGUCUGGACAGACAAGCCUGGAGAUCACAUCCUUUUAACUGAUAACCAGCUUUCUGGCCAGGGGCUCCAAGCCCGUGUCUGGCAGGUCAGCCUGCCCUUUCAGCGGGAUGGUCUUGCCUGGAUCUCUGCGGCCACACACGUGACAGGCACCUGCUCUGUGUGCCUGGUGUCGUCCUGAGCACCUCCCACUCAUGAGGCAGUGAGACCCAGUGGGACAUCAGGGCCUGUGUGGGAGAUGUGGAGAUCCGAGCAGGGUACGUGCUCACUGCCCAGUGAUGCUUUGUUCCUGGAGAGCGUUUGUGAUGCCGUGAGCUCAGGCUUCCCGGGACCCACGUGCUGGGUCUCAGCGGGACUAAACGUGUGAGCUGCUCGGGAGGCGCUCAGCAGAGAAGAGCCAUAUGUUCGGCACCUCCAGAGCUCAAAACGAUGCCUGGAGCCUCAGGAUGGAGACCAAGGAGGGGCCCCGGAACUGGCAUGCUGGACCCCAGGACCCUGAGCCUCCAGGACACCACAACGUGGGCCCCGCAGGGGGCCUUGGACCUCAGUGAAGGGGAUGCACUUCCGCCCAACACUCCGCAUCCCAGCUCGCCGGCUGCCCCUCCUCCAGCCUCACCUGCCCCUGGUCCUGAGCCACCAGCUGGGCUGUGCUCUUGCUUCCUUGGGGCAGGUGUGUCCAUGAUUUCUCCACCAGCCGAGCGUGAGGCCUGGUGUGUGUGAGUGAAGGAGGGAGUGAGUGAGGGAUUGGGAUGAAUGAAGUUAGAGCAGCAAGGAGGGCUCAUUCCCAUCGCUAACUUCACGGGGAACAGGAAAACACAGGUCAGAGUGCUGGGGGGAGUUCCCGGGUCUGAGGCCGACUCGCCCUGUGACCCCGGCCAUGCUCACUAGUCUGUUUCCAGCUAACUUUUUCACGAACAAAGCACUUGUUACCAGCACAGGGGCUUCCCUGGGGCCUCCAGCAUCUUGAGGAAAAGAGAAAAUCCAGGGAAGCCUGUGGGAUUCAUGCAGCAUGGGAUGGAGUGUGGAGCAACGGGAACACAGCCAGGAGCCCCUGUCUACUGAGCCCCGCUGGCCUCACACGAGUGCCGCCGCCCCCACUCAGCACGAUCACCCCAUCUCCUCGUGGGUAGGGAAGGCUAUGCGAACCGCCCAGGCCAUGCCAGGGUCCUGGGGCUGCUGGCACAGGGCACACACAGGCCCUGAACAGCAACGUGGAGGCUGGAAUCCGACAUCCCGGUGUGGGCAGGGCUUCACCUCAAGACUCCGAGGGGAGGGUCUGCUCCAGCCUCUCUCUAGCCCCUGGGCCUCAGGGGGUCCUUGGUGGGUCCAUGGCCACCCUUUCCUGUGGCUUUGCCUGUCUUCCUUCUGUAGGCGUCUGUCUCUUGGUUGAAUUUUCCCUUUUCGUCAAGACACUAGUCUUACUGGAUUAGGACCCACCCCACUGACUUUAUCUAAACUUGACCGUAUGCAAAGACCUUCCUUCCAAAUGAGUCACGUUCAAGGUGAGGGGGUUAGGACAGCAGCAUCUCUGGGGGUGGGGAGAGCCACACAAUUAAACCAUAGCAGAGGACACCUGUGCGUCUUUGGGGGUCUUCCUCUUGUGGGCUUGUGGCUUCUUGCAUGUGAAAGCUUUUCCCAACCCUGAAAAGAAGCCUCCGGAUUUCGAUGCCCUAACUUUGUAUGUUUUAUUCCCAACAUCCAGCAUUUGCAAAUUGCAGAUGACACCAACAUGCAAAGUAGAGACAUCUUACAGAGUGCAAAUAGGAAAAGGUAGGGGACCCAGAUCCAACUCUAACUAGUAAAACAUGGACAGGGCUUCAGAGGGACCACCCACAGGACAUGCAGGAUGGUGCAAGUCUGAGUUCUUAUUUCCAUCACCUGGUCCAGGACCUGUGCGUGCACCUGCCGCUGACAUAAGUCCCUCCUGGGGUCUCGUGAACUUCCGGGUACUCGGCUCUGGGACCUCGACUCCCUCUGUUACCAGAAGACGCAGGCGCCCUGGUGCUCCACUCUCUCUAGCUAAAGCCUUGGCUUCUUCUUGGAACCUGUGCUUGCCUUUCUACUGGUCCUCAGGGGGCUCCCUCUGCGUGUGGAGCUUGGGGAGCACAGUCCCCAGACAGACUCCCGAUUGGGACCCCUCCCGAGGCGAAGCUUUGCAGGAGUUUGGGGUGUCCCUGGGAGAUGCCGCAGGGCCAGCACUGCGAGAGCAGUGAUUGAGGGUCAGGGGACAAGAGUGGCCCGUGAAGGAGUCUCAACCAGGACCGCAGACAAAUUCCAGGGCUGCAGAUCUUUGCCGAGUAGGGGCCGCUGCUAGCUCAGGCCCCUCUCCCAAGCCCCUGAGGAUGCAGCAGGGAACAGUGGGGAGGGGCUUGAGCCCAUCUUUGCGCCUGAAAGUAGCAUCCACUCGACCAGAGGGUCAAACAGUCGCGGAGAGGUUUGUUCUCCAUAGAGAGAAGCUCCCUGUCCAUUUGUCAUGGUGGCCAUCAGCCAGCGAUUUCAAAUCUGAAAGUUAAAUCACAGCCAGUUGUCACAGUGGCUGUUGCCAAGGCAUUAGAGCUGCACGAUGGGAUUGUUUUAGGAAAUGGCUCAUUGGGAAAUAUAUUUUCUGCUCAGCUGAGAGUUUUGCUGCAGGGAAUACAGCGCAUGAAUUUGAAACACAAAUUCUGGGCAUUCGUGUGUAAAGUCUGACCUUUCCCUGCAACGCGGUUCACAGGUGCGUCCUGUAGCUUGGCUUCCCGUGAAGUCUCUGGAGCUCAUCCUCCCGGUGACAUUGCUAACUCCAGUGGCAGUGCUCCGUGCCAGCCUCCCACGUCAGCACCGGUCACCCGGAUACUUGCUGGAAAAUAGAAUUACAUGCUACGGUGGACACAACAAUGUUCCCCCCAAAAUGCACGUCCACUGGAAGCUGUGAUAUGAUAGAGUCUGGAAUGGGGCUCUUUGCAGAUGAAACUGGUUGUGGGUCUUGAGGUGAGACCAUCCUGGGGGAUCCAGGUAAGCUGUAAAUUCAACAAGCAUCCUGAUUAGAGACAGAAGAGAAGACAGGCAGGGGAGGCAGCCGUGUGAGGAUGGAGGCAGAGACUGGGGGGAUGUGGCCACAAGCCAAGGGACCCUGGAGCCCCCAGAAGCAGGAAGAGGCACGAAGGAUCCUCCCUGGGAGACAAGAACCUCUCUGAUCAGCUGAUGACAAACAGGUGUGUGAUAGUAACAACUUCUACUAACGGCGCCUCCCACCGUGACCCCACCUCCUCCUAGUGUGGGUCAGAGCAUUUGCAGUGAUGCAGACAGAACUGGGGACCCCGAGAGGAAAACCUCAAGCAGCCAAUUGGAUACUAUAUCAGCCACCACAUCCAAAAAGAAACUGCUGGGUUUCAACCAAGCCUACAAGAGCCAGAAGAGCAAAGCACCAAAUGGCACAGGUGCCGAGGAGCUUUCCCAGCCCUGGUCCCCUCGUGCACGGCAAUGUGAUGCUCCUGGCCAACAGCUGCCCCCUGCACCCCUGGGUGGCUGCAGAGCCAGCCUCAAGGACAGAGUCUGUGGCCUGCCCGUCCCUUCUGCCAGAGCUCUGACCCCAUGGCCAUCCUGCCCCUGACCUCUGGGGAGCCUCGGAGCCUCUGGAGUGCGGGGCGUGGAGCCGGGCUGCUCAGUGUGGGGAAGGGGUUCAGUGCCCACGUGGCAGGACACUCACCAACCCGGGCAGCGAAGGACGUGCACUGACUCUUUGUCUCUGCCCCCCCCAACCCCGGAUGGACGUGUUCACCUGUGAACUGGUUGUAACUGAUAAUGGUGCCUCCACCCCAAGCCAUCUUAGUCUGGGUGCUGGAAGAAAAUAGCGCUGACAGGGGAGGGGGCCUUAAAGAGUUCUGAAGGCUGGAAGUCCAAGAUGAGGGUCCAGCAUGGCUGGUUCUGGCGAGGACCCUCUUCCAGUUGCAGACUUGACUUCCUGUAUCUUCGAGUGAGCUCCUUGGAGGCUCCUUUAUAAGGACACUGAUCCCCUUCAUAGGGGCCCCACCCUCAUGACACAGCACCCCCCAAAGGCCCUGUCUCCUAAGGCCAUCACACUGGGCAGUAGAGUUUCCACAUAUGGAUUCUGGGGGGACACAGGCGUUCGGUUCCCCCCCCACACACACACAGUAUCAGUGUGUUUUGGGGAAGCACAGGGAACUUUGUAAGCUCUUGACCUGUGGACAAAGAUUGGCCCAGUCUCCUCCUUUCUCCCUCCCCAGCCUGGCCCAUCCCACAGAGCAGCAUUUCCAGUCCAUAAGAACCUAACGGGGGCCAAGCAUGUGAGGACACAGCACUGACUGAGCUCACAUGGAGUCAGACGCGUCUGUAUUCAGUCUCGUGUAAUCGACACCAGAACCCCAGAAGGAAAGCGUAUGAUUCUCCCUUUUAAAGUUGAGGAAACUGAGGUCCAGGGAGUUAAGUCAACUCCUCUGAGGGGGGGCGGGGCAGGUGAAGCAGCUUGACACCAAACCCGAACAAGGAAACCCCUCCCAGGAGGCGCAGGUGGCGGGUGGGUGCUGGGAGCUGACCAGGGGCUGAAGCCUUCGACUGCUUUCCUUGUCUUCCCUGCAGCAUCUCCCAGCCUCCAGGAGUUUCCCGAAGCUUGUGAGCUGCGGAGAAGUGCGUUUGGCUGACUAUGAGCUGAGAUCGUUUCGGCAGCUGGGAAGCUCCAAUCGCAUUAGACAUUUCCGGUUGGGCCCGAACCUCUGCAAAUACAAAGUGUCCCCUUGAAGAAGGACCUUGAGGGUCCCCAGCGUGAGGAGAAGCCAGGCUUUCUUGGGGUGCGGGGUGAACCCAUCUUCAUUAAAGGGUGCCGUGUUCGGAGUAAGGCCCAGAGCUUCCGGUUACUGACAGACACCUUCUCCCAUGUCUGCAUCUAAGUGAUUAUCUAACCAAAGGGGUGGCCCCGAUGCCCAGGGCACCUCCAGGGAGGCUCGGCUUUACCUUUGUAAUCGAUUAAAAGUAGAUAGCAGCCGGCCAGAGCACAGAGCAUGGGCUGCAUUUUAAGAAAACACGGUUCCAACCCUCUCUCUGCCACCUUGUUCCCUAAGCAGACUUCGGUACGACUGUAGCUUCCAAAAACGGGGUAAUUUCUGGCACAUCCUGGAGCUGUGCAGAGCUGACAUAUUAACCAGGAGCCAGUUUGGGGUCCACGUGAGGCAGGUCUCUUUCCGUCUAGGCAGGCUUGGCUUGGAGACUUGACCCCAGGACAUGCGGCAGGAAUGUCCUUCCCUCCGUCAAACCCUGCAAGGCUCAGCCUCCCAACCCCCUCCCCAAACUGACCCUGCCUUCCCACACCGGCCUGGUCAGAUUUGUCCCUGGACUUUGUGCUGAGGCCCCGCCCUCACCUCCCCAGGCUAGGCCCUGGCCCUGGCUUUGGGGAGAAAGAGAAUAUUUUGAUUCACAAAGUCUGUUCUUUGCUUUUUGGAAAAAUGAGAACACAAGAUCUGUAUGAGAAUCUGACAGUGUGCCCCUGGGAAGCAGAGGCUUCCUGUUUCCUCAAUGAUCUCAAUGACCUUGAGAGCCGACUGGGGUCUGCCUGCGAUAGAUGAGUGUGAGCUCUCUGGCGUCCUCCUCUUAGCUGACUCCAGGCUGGCCAGGUAGGAGGUGGCAUUUCUUAAGUCACAACCCGCAAAACUCAGUACUUCAUCCCUGCCUCUACUGCCCGGUGUUUGUCCUUUUCUUUUCUUGGGUUAGGUUUUCUGAUCGUCGCCAGGCUUGGGGAUGAAGUGUGAGUGAUAUUCCCAGCUAAUCUGGCAGCAUUGGGAGCGCCCCAGGCACUAGGUUGGUCCACUGGGGCCACUUAAAAGGAUUAAGUAUGGAGAAACCCUGUACACACUGCUCAUAAAGACACGCGGCCUCUGUGGAGGGAAAUGACCUGCUUAGUGAAGCAGCUGCGCUCGUUCGCUCACACGAGCGAAUGAAAGAUGCUGCGUGUUUCCAGGAGUUUCUUCUGCUUGGCUGCUGAGGUUCUGAACAAAGUAUGUUGCACGUGUGAUGCUAACAUUAAUGAAAAUGAACCGAGCCAGGCAGACCUCCCCUCUGUCCUCGGCCGGGGAAGCACCCUUCCCCUCUGUCCUCGGCCGGGGAAGCACCCCUCCCCUCUGUCCUCGGCCGGGGAAGCACCCCUCCCCUCUGUCCUCGGCCGGGGAAGCACCCCUCCCCUCUGUCCUCGGCCGGGGAAGCACCCCUCCCCUCUGUCCUCGGCCGGGGAAGCACCCCUCCCCUCUGUCCUCGGCCGGGGAAGCACCCCUCCCCUCUGUCCUCGGCCGGGGAAGCACCCCUCCCCUCUGUCCUCGGCCGGGGAAGCACCCCUCCCCUCUGUCCUCGGCCGGGGAAGCACCCCUCCCCUCUGUCCUCGGCCGGGGAAGCACCCCUCCCCUCUGUCCUCGGCCGGGGAAGCACCCUUAGAAGCAUGUGUGGGCGGCACGUGCGAACGUCAGGGCGGAAGUCUCCAGGCAGGGGCUCCAUCGCCAGCCCGAUGGGGAGGGCAAAGCUGCCAUGACGGUCUGCCCAUCUGUGACACGUGACAGCGCCCGCUGGCGGGACGUUUGGGGACAUCAGCAGUAGACACACGGAAGGAAGUGCUGGCCGGUCCGUGGUCAUGUUGCUGGGGAACUUCGCACCCUGGGUGACACUGCAGAGACACUGAGCCACUCGUGGACAUGGCAGAAGGAAACCCACAGAUGAGGCUUCUGGUCUACCUGCCGACCCCGUAAGGGCGUCUGUGUGGCUUCAGUCACGCGGUGCCCUCACCUGCCCGGGAGGCCUCCCUGAGUGGCCUCCUUCUUGACCCCGAGUGCUCCUGCAUCCUGGGCCUCCCUCUCACCUCCCUGUAACUAUGGGCCCUGGAUACAAGAUGUAAGGGUAACCGACCUCCCUGGGAACCAAGACUGGGGGAUGUACAUGAGGCAUCUAACUGAUACAUUCUCCAGGUGAGCGGGGUUAGUGAUGUCCUGUUCUAGUGCCAUGAGGACUGGACAUACGAAGGACACCUCCCCGCCACACACACUCCUCUGAGUGCCUGUCUACACAUCUCCAGAUACCUGGGCACAUAGACCCAGAUUCCAGAAAUGCCAGUCCUGCAGGGUGGGACCACUGUGAGGGGUGGGCGGUGAGGUAGGUCAUCACCUGGCUGCUCACAUCUUGUCCAAAGAAGGCCUUUGGGUGGAAAACCCUCUUGCUGGAGACCAGUGUGGUUUCGGUUUUGGUUUUGUCUUCUUGUUUUUGUCGUAUCCCUAACAAUUCGUGUUGCGUCCAUCCGGGAAAAUUUGUCGUCUGACCUCAUCAGGAAAGUCCUAGGCUUCCACGGGUGGGGACCCGCCUCUCCUGCUGGGCCCCUGUCCAAGGAUGCGUCUCCGUCAAAUUCUGCUUGAUCUCCUCUCAAGGGUGGGGGGAUUCCACGCCCGGACCCCAUCAUGGAUGCCCAGGAAGUGGGAGCCAUGCAGAGCCACACCGUCCCCAGGAAGAGGCAGUGAUGCGUCCCUCGGUCAAGGUCCUUACAGACAGCCUGACGUGCAGGCCUCCACCAAUCCCCCCGGUGAAGGCAGACCUGCGAGUCUCUUGAAAACGAACACUUGUUUUCCUGGGAAUUAUAAGAAAACAGCUCUAAGGUAUCAGUAGAUUCAUUUAACAUCUCAAAGCACAGAAAAGACGUUGAAUCCCAUAGAUGCAGGUGUGGGAGAUUCAGGUCAGCCAAGUCACCAGGAGAGAGAGGACGUGAAAGCUCUAAGAGGGAGAACAAAAAUCCCAGCCAGCCGCCAGCACCGUCGUUCCCUCUUUCAGUGAGAGGAGUGUGCUUUCUUCAUGGGACAUUGUGUUUUCAGGGAGUCUAGUAAUGAAAAUUUUAAAAACCCAGUGACGUUGAUCCCGGUUUUAGCUAGGAAGCCUGUUAUGAAAAUGGAUAGCACCAGCCUAAUGCACUCUAAGAUAUGGGUACCGGAGACGAUAAAUCUUGGAAAUUUGCAUGGUAUAAAAAUGUUUUAGUC